UCUGAAAGAAAUCACCAGAUGAGGGUAUUUCGUGGCUGCUGGGAAGACAAGUACGAGAAAUAAAGAAAACAAGCACAAGGCAAAACGGAUUAGUAAUAGAUCAGGUCUGUUAGAGACACGAGGAUCGAGUUAGACCUGUUAGUAUAUGGGAAUUGGUCGACUCGAUUUCACUCAUACCAAUCUUCCCGGGUGGAAUUGUUAGGUGAAACAUUCUGUUGAGGGAACCGUUCGACAGGAACGAGAAUGCUCGGUGAACGCGUGAUGAACGCCUUCAUCACGAUUGAUCAUUAACGACGAAAGACACUAAACUAAUCUGAAACGAAUUUUAAUCUUCGGUUAACUGGUCGAUUACAACUGUUAUAAAUAAACUACGGAUGCAUAUUUCAUAUUUUUGUAAUUAAAGAAAUGAAGUCUAGAUAAAAACUAGUUUUACCUACUAUAGAUAUUAUUAUCUGUCCUUUGUUUUGGAUAUUUUAUGUAUCUUUUGCGUAUUAAGUGCACUCUAUACGUUUCUGCACUUCUAAAUUUCUUGUGUAUAUAUAAACAUCCACAGUCUAAUUAUAAGUUUCCAGGUGCUAAUUCUGGUCUUGUCAAAAAUUAAGUAAUAAUAUUGCAGCGUAAGAGUUACUAUGAUGUCGUUAAGUAUUCCCCAUAUUUAUAGAAUUACAAUUGUUCAAUUACGUAGUAACAUAGAAAUCAAUGUUAACAUUUAUAUUAUACAGAAAUAUAAUAAAAUAAAGUUGUCGUUAUUAUUUCUAGAUCUUCUUGUGGAAGUAAUUUCAACAUAAAAAUUAUGUUCUAAAAGUCAGCAUCUGGAAACUUCAAACAGUUUCAACCGUUCAAGAACAGAAGCACUCUCGCUAUAAACUCGAAGAUCACAUUCAUCGUGUUUCUAAAAAAGAAAAUAUAAAAAAUAUCGAAUUUGUCGACUCUCUUCUAGGAACGCUCUAUCAUCUCUUUCGCUCAAUGUAAUCGCUCUAAAUGAAGGCUGACGUAUGUGUCGUUCUUCUUGCUCGGAGAAGAUUGUUUUUCACACUGUUCUCGCAUGCUAUAUUAAAGUUAUUCGAACAUGUUUCAAAAAUCAUUUUAAAAUGAGAAAAA